GACGAACGCUGGCGGCGUGCUUAACACAUGCAAGUCGAACGGUGACGCUGGAGCUUGCUCCAGCUGAUCAGUGGCGAACGGGUGAGUAACACGUGAGCAACCUGCCCUUGACUCUGGGAUAACCCCGGGAAACCGGAGCUAAUACCGGAUACGAACCGCACAGGCAUCUGCGCGGUUGGAAAGUUUUUCGGUCAAGGAUGGGCUCGCGGCCUAUCAGCUUGUUGGUGGGGUAACGGCCCACCAAGGCGACGACGGGUAGCCGGCCUGAGAGGGCGACCGGCCACACUGGGACUGAGACACGGCCCAGACUCCUACGGGAGGCAGCAGUGGGGAAUAUUGCACAAUGGGCGAAAGCCUGAUGCAGCGACGCCGCGUGAGGGAUGAAGGCCUUCGGGUUGUAAACCUCUUUCAGCAGGGAAGAAGCGAAAGUGACGGUACCUGCAGAAGAAGCACCGGCUAACUACGUGCCAGCCGCCGCAGUAAUAC
rnacentral:rRNA from 1 species